GAUGAACGCUAGCUACAGGCUUAACACAUGCAAGUCGCGGGGCAGCAUGGGGGUUGCUUGCCACUCCCGAUGGCGACCGGCGCACGGGUGAGUAACGCGUAUCCAACCUGCCCUUCACCACGGGAUAACCCGGCGAAAGUCGGACUAAUACCGUAUGUUGUCCAUUGACGGCAUCCGAUUUGGACGAAAGGCUUUGCGGUGAAGGAUGGGGAUGCGUCCGAUUAGCCAGACGGCGGGGUAACGGCCCACCGUGGCUACGAUCGGUAGGGGUUCUGAGAGGAAGGUCCCCCACACUGGAACUGAGACACGGUCCAGACUCCUACGGGAGGCAGCAGUGAGGAAUAUUGGUCAAUGGGCGUAAGCCUGAACCAGCCAAGUAGCGUGCAGGAUGACGGCCCUAUGGGUUGUAAACUGCUUUUAUGCGGGGAUAAAGUGGCCCACGGGUGGGCUUUUGCAGGUACCGCAUGAAUAAGAACCGGCUAAUUCCGUG
rnacentral:rRNA from 1 species